CACGUAGGGCGCAAGCGUUGUCCGGAAUUAUUGGGCGUAAAGAGCUCGUAGGCGGUCUGUUGCGUCUGCUGUGAAAACCCGGGGCUUAACCCCUGGCUUGCAGUGGAUACGGACAGACUAGAGGUAGGUAGGGGAGAAUGGAAUUCCCGGUGUAGCGGUGAAAUGCGCAGAUAUCGGGAGGAACACCGGUGGCGAAGGCGGUUCUCUGGGCCUUACCUGACGCUGAGGAGCGAAAGCGUGGGGGAGCAAACAGG
rnacentral:rRNA from 1 species